UGGGGAAUUUUGGACAAUGGGGGAAACCCUGAUCCAGCCAUCCCGCGUGUGCGAUGAAGGCCUUCGGGUUGUAAAGCACUUUUGGCAGGAAAGAAACGUCGCGGGUUAAUACCCCGCGAAACUGACGGUACCUGCAGAAUAAGCACCGGCUAACUACGUGCCAGCAGCCGCGGUAAUACGUAGGGUGCAAGCGUUAAUCGGAAUUACUGGGCGUAAAGCGUGCGCAGGCGGUUCGGAAAGAAAGAUGUGAAAUCCCAGAGCUUAACUUUGGAACUGCAUUUUUAACUACCGGGCUAGAGUGUGUCAGAGGGAGGUGGAAUUCCGCGUGUAGCAGUGAAAUGCGUAGAUAUGCGGAGGAACACCGAUGGCGAAGGCAGCCUCCUGGGAUAACACUGACGCUCAUGCACGAAAGCGUGGGGAGCAAACAGGAUUAGAUACCCUGGUAGUCCACGCCCUAAACGAUGUCAACUAGCUGUUGGGGCCUUCGGGCCUUGGUAGCGCAGCUAACGCGUGAAGUUGACCGCCUGGGGGAGUACGGUCGCAAGAUUAAAACUCAAAGGAAUUGGACU
rnacentral:rRNA from 1 species